rnacentral:rRNA from 1 species
UACUGGGGGGGCAAGCGUUGUUCGGAAUUACUGGGCGUAAAGGGCUCGUAGGCGGCCAACUAAGUCAGACGUGAAAUCCCUCGGCUUAACCGGGGAACUGCGUCUGAUACUGGAUGGCUUGAAUCCGGGAGAGGGAUGCGGAAUUCCAGGUGUAGCGGUGAAAUGCGUAGAUAUCUGGAGGAACACCGGUGGCGAAGGCGGCAUCCUGGACCGGCAUUGACGCUGAGGAGCGAAAGCCAGGGGAGCAAACGGG